rnacentral:rRNA from 1 species
GUCUACGGCCAUACCACUCUGAACAAGCCUGAUCCGGUGUGAUCUCAGAAGCUAAGCAGGGUCGGGCCUGGUUAGUACUUGGAUGGGAGAUUACCUAGGAAGACCAGGUGCCAUAGGCG